rnacentral:rRNA from 1 species
AUGGCCGUCCAACUCGGCCUCUCGCCCACCCGCGCCGAGGAGAUCCUCAGCAUGGCCAAAUCCGCCACCGCCGGGAACCUCGCCACCGUCGGCACCAACUUCCUCCCGGCCCUCGCCGCCGCCUGCUCCUUCCUCGUCGCGCGAUCUCACCGCCUCCCUCUCUCCCUCGCCGAGGCCGCCGAGGCCGCGUCCUGCACCACGGUCGCGCUCGGUGACCUCGUAUCCCGCAUCGCCUCCCACCUCUCCCUUCCCCCCUCCCCUCCUUCGACUACCAGGCCGCGCUCGAACGCGCCGUGCUAG